UACGUAGGGUGCAAGCGUUAAUCGGAAUUACUGGGCGUAAAGCGUGCGCAGGCGGCUUUGCAAGACAGAUGUGAAAUCCCCGGGCUUAACCUGGGAACUGCAUUUGUGACUGCAUGGCUAGAGUAUGGCAGAGGGGGGUAGAAUUCCACGUGUAGCAGUGAAAUGCGUAGAGAUGUGGAGGAAUACCGAUGGCGAAGGCAGCCCCCUGGGCCAAUACUGACGCUCAUGCACGAAAGCGUGGGGGAGCAAACAGG
rnacentral:rRNA from 1 species